rnacentral:rRNA from 1 species
GACGAACGCUGGCGGCGUGCCUAAUACAUGCAAGUCGAACGCAGUGGGGACGGGUGAGUAACACGUGGGUAACCUCCCAUCAGAGGGGAUAACCCUUGGAAACAGGUGCUAAACCGAUACUGAUGGAUGGACCCGCGGUGCAUUAGCUAGUUGGUGGGGUAACGGCUCACCAAGGCCAGGGUGCAUACCGGACCGGAGAGGGUGAUCGGCCACACUGGGACGGAGACACGGCCCGGACUCCUACGGGAGGCAGCAGUGGGGAAUCUUCGGCAAUGGACGAAAGUCUGACCGAGCAACGCCGCGUGAAGGAAGAAGGUUUUCGGAUCGUAAAACUCUGUUGUUAGAGAGGCGGUAUCUAACCAGAAAGCCACGGCUAACUACGUGCCAGCCGCCGCGGUAAUUC